rnacentral:rRNA from 1 species
CGCGUGUACUGGUCCGGCCCGGGCCUUUCCUUCUGGAGAGCCCCAUGCCCUUCACUGGGCGUGCGGGGGAACCAGGACUUUUACUUUGAAAAAAUUAGAGUGUUCAAAGCAGGCCUUUGCUCGAAUACGUUAGCAUGGAAUAAUAGAAUAGGACGUGCGGUCCUAUUUUGUUGGUUUCUAGGACCGCCGUAAUGAUUAAUAGGGAUAGUCGGGGGCAUCAGUAUUCAAUUGUCAGAGGUGAAAUUCUUGGAUUUAUUGAAGACUAACUACUGCGAAAGCAUUUGCCAAGGAUGUUUUCAUUAAUCAGUGAACGAAAGUUAGGGGAUCGAAGACGAUCAGAUACCGUCGUAGUCUUAACCGUAAACUAUGCCGACUAGGGAUCGGGCGAUGUUUCUAUCUUGACUCGCUCGGCACCUUACGAGAAAUCAAAGUUUUUGGGUUCUGGGGGGAGUAUGGUCGCAAGGCUGAAACUUAAAGAAAUUGACGGAAGGGCACCACCAGGCGUGGAGCCUGCGGCUUAAUUUGACUCAACACGGGGAAACUCACCAGGUCCAGAUGAAAUAAGGAUUGACAGAUUGAGAGCUCUUUCUUGAUUUUUCAGGUGGUGGUGCAUGGCCGUUCUUAGUUGGUGGAGUGAUUUGUCUGCUUAAUUGCGAUAACGAACGAGACCUCAGCCUGCUAACUAGCUAUGCGGAGGAUACCCUUCGCGGCCAGCUUCUUAGAGGGACUAUGGC